UAUUUUCAAAUCUGGAAGUUCGCAUCUGUUGCUAAUUUUUAUUGUACUUCUAUAUGGUGUGUGGUACUAACUAAAUUACCCUCAGUUCAUGUCACUUGCGGUACUUCUACAUGGUGUGUGCUCCCACACAGCGCCGCCUCGCCCUUCAACGCAGUCCACGGUGUCAAUGAUGAUCGGCAGUCCACAUUGCAUCAAACCAAGAAGUCAAUCUGAAAAGAGUUCACAUGGGCGUUGGCGAACAUCCGUCGGCGCACCUACCUCCGCAUCGGCGUUGGUGAACAUCAGUGCACACCAAGUUCCUCGUCAGGCUGAGAUGUUUUUGCAACUGACUGGCUAUGAAGUUCACAUCUCUUUUUAGGGUAAGUUCACUGCGUGAGGGGAAAGACGUUCAGUUAAACACUACAGUAGCUAAUAUGUUGUGGUACAGUUCAUCAUUGGUCAUGAUAUGCUGUUGGAUGCUGCUGAUGUAUUAGCGGUCGUGCAGUUUCCAUUGAUGCAUUAGCUGCUGUAAGCUACUAUCGAUGUUCAUGUUUGGAUUUUACCCCUUCUCGUUUGAUGUUAAUGCUUAGUUAUUU